rnacentral:rRNA from 1 species
AAAUUGAAGAGUUUGAUCAUGGCUCAGAUUGAACGCUGGCGGCAGGCCUAACACAUGCAAGUCGAACGGUAACAGGAAGCAGCUUGCUGCUUUGCUGACGAGUGGCGGACGGGUGAGUAAUGUCUGGGAAACUGCCUGAUGGAGGGGGAUAACUACUGGAAACGGUAGCUAAUACCGCAUAACGUCGCAAGACCAAAGAGGGGGACCUUCGGGCCUCUUGCCAUCAGAUGUGCCCAGAUGGGAUUAGCUUGUUGGUGGGGUAACGGCUCACCAAGGCGACGAUCCCUAGCUGGUCUGAGAGGAUGACCAGCCACACUGGAACUGAGACACGGUCCAGACUCCUACGGGAGGCAGCAGUGGGGAAUAUUGCACAAUGGGCGCAAGCCUGAUGCAGCCAUGCCGCGUGUAUGAAGAAGGCCUUCGGGUUGUAAAGUACUUUCAGCGGGGAGGAAGGUGUUGUGGUUAAUAACCGCAGCAAUUGACGUUACCCGCAGAAGAAGCACCGGCUAACUCCGUGCCAGCAGCCGCGGUAAUACGGAGGGUGCAAGCGUUAAUCGGAAUUACUGGGCGUAAAGCGCACGCAGGCGGUCUGUUAAGUCAGAUGUGAAAUCCCCGGGCUCAACCUGGGAACUGCAUCUGAUACUGGCAGGCUUGAGUCUCGUAGAGGGGGGUAGAAUUCCAGGUGUAGCGGUGAAAUGCGUAGAGAUCUGGAGGAAUACCGGUGGCGAAGGCGGCCCCCUGGACGAAGACUGACGCUCAGGUGCGAAAGCGUGGGGAGCAAACAGGAUUAGAUACCCUGGUAGUCCACGCCGUAAACGAUGUCGACUUGGAGGUUGUGCCCUUGAGGCGUGGCUUCCGGAGCUAACGCGUUAAGUCGACCGCCUGGGGAGUACGGCCGCAAGGUUAAAACUCAAAUGAAUUGACGGGGGCCCGCACAAGCGGUGGAGCAUGUGGUUUAAUUCGAUGCAACGCGAAGAACCUUACCUGGUCUUGACAUCCACAGAAGUUUUCAGAGAUGAGAAUGUGCCUUCGGGAACUGUGAGACAGGUGCUGCAUGGCUGUCGUCAGCUCGUGUUGUGAAAUGUUGGGUUAAGUCCCGCAACGAGCGCAACCCUUAUCCUUUGUUGCCAGCGGUUAGGCCGGGAACUCAAAGGAGACUGCCAGUGAUAAACUGGAGGAAGGUGGGGAUGACGUCAAGUCAUCAUGGCCCUUACGACCAGGGCUACACACGUGCUACAAUGGCAUAUACAAAGAGAAGCGACCUCGCGAGAGCAAGCGGACCUCAUAAAGUAUGUCGUAGUCCGGAUUGGAGUCUGCAACUCGACUCCAUGAAGUCGGAAUCGCUAGUAAUCGUGGAUCAGAAUGCCACGGUGAAUACGUUCCCGGGCCUUGUACACACCGCCCGUCACACCAUGGGAGUGGGUUGCAAAAGAAGUAGGUAGCUUAACCUUCGGGAGGGCGCUUACCACUUUGUGAUUCAUGACUGGGGUGAAGUCGUAACAAGGUAACCGUAGGGGAACCUGCGGUUGGAUCACCUCCUUACCUUAAAGAA